GGCGCUGCGUUCUCACGUCCCGGAGCUCGCGCGAGUCGCUGCCCCCACCCACCCGGUCCGCGCUGGGCCCUGAGCCUUCCUUUGUCUUCCAGGCCCGAGAGACUCGCCCGCGGCUGCGGCCGCUCUGGCUCCGAGUGGGGGCGGUGGGCGCAGGGAGAGUUCUCCCCUGGCCUCUCCCUUCACUGCCUCGCCUCUGGGGGCCACUCCGGGACCCUUCCUGCCUCUCAGGUCUCCCUCCAACCCAAUUUGUUCACAAAGCUUCCUGAGACCUUCACAGCUGCAUGCAUUUGAAAUUAUUGACCAUAUCAACACCUGCCAUCUAUGUGGACUGAUCUGUUUAAAGCUGGAAACAGCUCCCUGCUUUCUGCCUGGAAAAGUGAUGGAGGAUGGCCCAAGGACUUGGAAUCCCAGCCCCACAUGGGAGACCUAGAAGAGGCUCCAGGCUCCUGGCUUCGGACUGGCUCAGCUCUGGCUGUUGCUGCAGC